GGGGACCUUGGGGCCUUGCGCUAUCAGAUGAGCCUAGGUCGGAUGAGCUAGUUGGUGAGGUAAUGGCUCACCAAGGCUACGAUCCGUAACUGGUCUGAGAGGAUGAUCAGUCACACUGGAACUGAGACACGGUCCAGACUCCUACGGGAGGCAGCAGUGGGGAAUAUGGGACAAUGGGCGAAAGCCUGAUCCAGCCAGGCCGCGUGGUGAAGAAGGUCUUCGGAUUGUAAAGCAAUGGAGUGGGAGGAAGGGCAU
rnacentral:rRNA from 1 species